rnacentral:rRNA from 1 species
CUACGGGUUGCUCCAGUAAGGAAUAUUGCGCAAUGGAGGCAACUCUGACGCAGCCAUGCCGCGUGCAGGAAGAAGGCCUUAUGGGUCGUAAACUGCUUUUAUUUAGGAAUAAACCCCCGAAUGUGUUCGGGGCUGAAGGUACUAAACGAAUAAGCACCGGCUAACUCCGUGCCAGCAGCCGCGGUAAUACGGAGGGGUGAAGCGUUAUCCGGCUUUAUUGGGUUUAAAGGGUGCGCAGGCGGGCUAUUAAGUCAGUGGUGAAAUCCCGGGGCUCAACUCCGGAACUGCCAUUGAUACUGAUAGUCUUGAGUUUGGUUGAAGUGGGCGGAAUGUAGCAUGUAGCGGUGAAAUGCAUAGAUAUGCUACAGAACACCAAUCGCGAAGGCAGCUCACUAAGCCAAAACUGACGCUCAUGCACGAAAGCGUGGGGAUCAAACAGGAUUAGAUACCCCAGUAGUC